rnacentral:rRNA from 1 species
AGUCGCCGCGGUAAUACGUAGGUGGCAAGCGUUGUCCGGAAUUAUUGGGCGUAAAGGGCUCGCAGGCGGUUUCUUAAGUCUGAUGUGAAAGCCCCCGGCUCAACCGGGGAGGGUCAUUGGAAACUGGGAAACUUGAGUGCAGAAGAGGAGAGUGGAAUUCCACGUGUAGCGGUGAAAUGCGUAGAGAUGUGGAGGAACACCAGUGGCGAAGGCGACUCUCUGGUCUGUAACUGACGCUGAGGAGCGAAAGCGUGGGGAGCGAACAGGAUUAGAUACCCCUGUAGUCCCUGUCUCUUAUACC